AUUCUGCUUCUUCAUAUUUAGUGUAAAUCCAAACAGCAACGCUCCUGAGUUUGUGUCCCACGUCACCUUCAGUCCGCUCAGAGCAGAGGAAUCAUUUCCAUAGAGAGGAGGCUUUGCAUCGUCAGCUGAUCCUCCACUGAACUGAGAAGCUUUAUAGUCCUGUGACUCCAACUCUGCAGGACUCAGACCCGUCAGUCGACCACAACCACCAUGACUCUCAUCACCCUCCUCAUCUGGACGCUGGCCUGCUGCAGCUUCACAGGAUGCAGCGGCCAGGUGACUGUGACUCAGCCUCCAGUCGUGACAUUUACUCCAGGAUCCACUGUCACACUGACCUGUAAAACCAACCCCAGUGUUCAUAGGGAUGGUGCUGGUGAUGAUUGGCUGUCCUGGUACCAGCAGAAACCUGGACAGGCUCCACAGCUCCUAAUAUACUGGGCUAACAGGAUUCAAUCAGGAACACCAGCUCGGUUUAGUGGCAGUGGAAGCAGCUCUGACUUCUCUUUGACCAUCAGUGGAGUUCAGAGUGAAGAUGCAGCAGUUUAUUACUGUCAGAGUGUCCAUAAAGUAAACGGAGCAGAUGUGUCCACACAGUGAUUUAGAGCCGUACAAAAACCUCCCUC